AUGCCGAAGCAUACGCCGAAAGAAGGCGUCGCCGGCGACGGCUCCAAGACCGCUGAGCAGAGCUCGGCUGAGGAGGCCCGUGCGGCGGAUGCGGACGCGCUCGCGCUGCGAGGCAGGCCGGGAGGCGAGCUGGGUGCGCCACGCUCCAUGCGAGACGUGGGCAUGUCCAGUACCUCCUUCCCUCUCCUCACGCGGACCAACUACCCCACUUGGUCGCUCCUGAUGAAAGUCAUCAUGGAGGCGCGGCAUAUGUGGAAAGCCGUGGAAACCAGCAAUGUCAAGUAUGAGCAAGACCGGUUGGCGAUGGAGGCGAUUUUGCACUCCGUCCGACAGGAGAUGGUGCUCACCUUUGGCGCCAAGAAGACGGCCAAAGAAUCAUGGGACACCAUCAACACUCGAGACCCACCGCUACCCCAACCAAAGAGACGAGCGGAAAGGCCCCGCCUUUCGCACCCCUAG
rnacentral:rRNA from 1 species